rnacentral:rRNA from 1 species
AGUGAACGCUGGCGGUAGGCCUAACACAUGCAAGUCGAACGGCAGCACAGUAAGAGCUUGCUCUUACGGGUGGCGAGUGGCGGACGGGUGAGGAAUACAUCGGAAUCUACUUUUUCGUGGGGGAUAACGUAGGGAAACUUACGCUAAUACCGCAUACGACCUACGGGUGAAAGCAGGGGAUCUUCGGACCUUGCGCGAUUGAAUGAGCCGAUGUCGGAUUAGCUAGUUGGCGGGGUAAAGGCCCACCAAGGCGACGAUCCGUAGCUGGUCUGAGAGGAUGAUCACCCACACUGGAACUGAGAAAGGGUCCACACUCCUAGGGGGGGAAGCGGUGGGGAAUAUUGAACAAUGGGGCCAAGCCUGAUCCAGCCAUACGGCGUGGGUGAAGAAGGCCUUCGGGUGGUAAAGCCCUUUUGUUGGGAAGGAAAAGCAGCAGGUUAAUACCCCGCGGUUCUGACGGUACCAAAAGAAUAAGCACCGGCUAACUUCGUG